rnacentral:rRNA from 1 species
UACGGGGGGGGCAAGCGUUGUUCGGAAUUACUGGGCGUAAAGCGUGCGCAGGCGGUUCGUUGUGUCGGCGGUGAAAGCCCCGGGCUCAACCUGGGAAUGGCCGUUGAAACUGGCGAACUGGAGUGUGGCAGAGGGGGGUGGAAUUCCGCGUGUAGCAGUGAAAUGCGUAGAGAUGCGGAGGAACACCGAUGGCGAAGGCAGCCCCCUGGGCUGACACUGACGCCUCAGGCACGAAAGCGUGGGGAGCAAACAGG